AACGAACGCUGGCGGCAGGCCUAACACAUGCAAGUCGAGCGAAGCCUUCGGGCUUAGCGGCGGACGGGUGAGUAACGCGUGGGAACGUGCCCUUUGCUACGGAAUAGCCCCGGGAAACUGGGAGUAAUACCGUAUGUGCCCUUCGGGGGAAAGAUUUAUCGGCAAAGGAUCGGCCCGCGUUGGAUUAGGUAGUUGGUGGGGUAAUGGCCUACCAAGCCGACGAUCCAUAGCUGGUUUGAGAGGAUGAUCAGCCACACUGGGACUGAGACACGGCCCAGACUCCUACUGGAAGCAGCAGUGGGGAAUCUUAGACAAUGGGGGAAACCCUGAUCUAGCCAUGCCGCGUGAUCGAUGAAGGCCUUAGGGUUGUAAAGAUCUUUCAGUGGGGAAGAUAAUGACUGUACCCACAGAAGAAGCCCCGGCUAACUCCGUGCCAGCCGCCGCAGUAAUAC
rnacentral:rRNA from 1 species